UCUUGCAGAGGGACUUACCCAUGAACCUUUGCUCUCCCCCUCGCCUCUCAGCCUGAACUGCAGCUUCCUUCCUGAGACAUGAUGUAAUGAUAGUCUUGGUUCCUUGCUCUUACCUAAUGGAGAAGGAACUGAAGAUGUCAAACACAAACACACCGAGACCCUUGACGAGAAAGACCAUGGUUGUGAGGUUCAUGGGAAAUGAAUGGAGCAUCUCUUAUCUGUAUGGCUGAGGAGAGAAGCAAGUGUAUCCAAUAGGAGUUCUGUAGGAUAAAUCACAAAGCGUUUGAUAUAAAUGGAAUGAGCUGAAUGCGCACAUCAGGAAGACACAUCGUGGGAAUGAGGAGAUCUGAGAAGACUGACGGUCACCUCUCAGUUUGCCUCUAGAAGAACGCUGACAACAUCACGUGACUUCUGGGGGGGGUCCUAAUUUGACCACUCCAAUUAUGUCAAGUCCAAAAGGUAUUAGAACACUUGCAGUAAGUAAUUUCGAGAAUGUUCCUCACUGAAGAUCAAGCAAUGGAAAAGAAGGCUUGCCCGCCUGUGAUAGUAACAGACUUUUCUGCGCUACGUUGCAGUGUGAAUCCUAUUCCCAUGGGAACCCUGUUUGCUCUCCCACGCCUCCUCCAGCCGAAGGAAUCUGAUGGGCAGAUACCGCGCCAAGCCCUGGCGAGACGGCCUAGUGUGUUCAAGGUCACUGUGCAAACAGCUCAUUUAGGGCAGAGACCUCCCGAAUCCUGAGCCCAUCUGGGGAAAAUAAUGAGAAGUACUCUCCUUACAGGCACCUAGAUUCUGAUGGAUCGCAAGUUCAACUCCACCACGAUGCUCACUGUUGGGUCUCAAUAGCUCAGUGUUCAAAGUGUUUUUGUUUUGUCUUGUUUUUACAUUUACUUAUUUAGUAUGUUCUGUGAGUGUGGCUCAAGGACAACAUAUGAGAGCCAGUUUUCUCCUUCCACAGCGUGGGCGCCCCUGGAGACUAAAUUCAGGUCUGCAGGCUUGGUAGCAAGUGCUCUUCUCAGUGAACUGUUUGCUGGCCUACCUCACAGGAAUUUGAAUCCUUUCAGCACCUGCCACCUCUCCCACAAGCACCACCACCACCAUUCCCUGAGCUGGAAGACAAAAAUCAGAGACACAGAUCCUCCUCAAAAGCCAGGACUAGGGCUGGAGAGAUGGCU
rnacentral:sRNA from 1 species